rnacentral:rRNA from 1 species
GUUAGGAAUAUUGGACAAUGGGCGCAAGCCUGAUCCAGCCAUGCCGCGUGAGUGAUGAAGGCCUUCGGGUUGUAAAGCUCUUUAGCCGAUGAUUAUAAUGACUGUAGUCGGAAAAUAAGCCCCGGCUAACUUCGUGCCAGCAGCCGCGGUAAUACGAAGGGGGCGAGCGUUAUUCGGAAUCACUGGGCGUAAAGCGUGCGUAGGCGGCUUUGCAAGUUGGGAGUGAAAGCCCAGGGCUCAACCCUGGAAUUGCUCUCAACACUGCAAGGCUCGAAUUCGGGAGAGGAUAGCGGAAUUGUCAGUGUAGCAGUGAAAUGCGUAGAUAUUGACAGGAACACCAGUGGCGUAAGCGGCUAUCUGGACCGAUAUUGACGCUGAGGCACGAAAGCGUGGGGAUCAAACAGGAUUAGAAACCCCGGUAGUCC